UACGUAGGGUGCAAGCGUUGUCCGGAAUUAUUGGGCGUAAAGAGCUCGUAGGCGGUUUGUUGCGUCGGCUGUGAAAUCCCGAGGCUCAACCUCGGGUCUGCAGUCGAUACGAGCAAACUAGAGUGUUGCAGGGGAGACUGGAAUUCCUGGUGUAGCGGUGAAAUGCGUAGAUAUCUGGAGGAACACCGGUGGCGAAGGCGGGUCUCUGGGCAACAACUGACGCUGAGGAGCGAAAGCGUGGGGAGCGAACAGG
rnacentral:rRNA from 1 species